CUCCAAGGGUGUCACAUGGAGAGUGGGGACAGUGGACCACAGGGACAAGACAGUACAGCCAGCCACACACUCACUAAGAUUCAGAGAGAGUAGUCUAGGGCACCGUGGGGACCACCUGGUCUCCCCACGUCUUGCCUUGUGCUCCGGAUUGAAGCCAGAUGGCUUAUACCAGCAGGCUGUGUAGCCCAAAGCUGCUCUUGGCAGGCUCUGAGAGAACAGAGGAACAAUCAAAAAGAAUCCAGCCCUUGACCUGCCAUGGGGCUGAAACUGAGAGGAGGGGGUCGGCCCAGUGGGUCUCCCUGGCCUUGUCAUUUGUUGAGUGUGGGCAUGCCUGCCCCAGCUGAGAUACGGUGGUCUUGGGGACACUGUUAGUUUUCUGUCUUUGAGGAAGAACCCCAGGAGGCAAGUGGAAGGGAGUGAGAAGGUCAGAAAGACCCCUCACUCCCUCUGGACCACCCUCAGCCACCUCAACUAGGCUUCUUCUUUUCUAGCUACUGCCGGAACUCACAAAUCCCGAUGAGCUCCUCUCCUACCUGGAUCCCCCCGACCUUCCAAGCAAUAGCAACGAUGACCUCCUGUCUCUCUUUGAGAACAACUGAAGGCCACUCUCCACUGGGGCCAACCCUCCCCACUCUGCCUCCUAUCCCAUCUGUCCCACACACUCUUCCUCCCAGGAGCCCAUGCUCAGGCCUCCCACACCAGGACCUCAGGCUGAGAGCUGAGCAGAGCACACUAGGCAGGGAAAGCCAUGUGAGUCUACAGUCCUGUUUGCCUGAAUGUUCCGGGACCUGUGCCUAGAGCAAGCCUGAAGACGGCCCCUGGAAGACAAAAACCCAAGCAGAGGGAAUCCAGGCCCAGCAAGAGACAUGCCAAUGUUGAGUAUAGGUCCCUCCAUGUGUGCUGACUCCAGACGACCGACCUUCCAGUGUCCCAAAGUUCUUCCAUGUUUUUAAACCUUAUCCCAGCCUCCUGGCCCAGAGCCUCCUUCAAAUGACUGGAACCUGAGAGGAACACUCCGGCCCCCAGGCCAGGAUAGUAGACAAGCCUUGGAGGAAUGGUGACAGUUUGCAGCAGCGAGGAAGGACGGACACACUCACACAUACACACACACACACACACACACACACACACACACGCAUCACAGAAAAGCACAACCCUCUGGGAAGGAGAACAUCCCUCAGAGCCAGGGGUCGUGGCUUUGGCCUCUGACUUCUAAGCCCUGUAAACACUCUCUCAGCAGAACAAGGACAAAGUGCUACAUCUGAGAGAGCUUGCCACACCUGUGUAGGGACUGGCAGGAAACAGGUCAGGGCCUUCUCCGGAGCCAAGACAAUGCAGGGGAGGGCUGCUCAACUAAGACCAGGGCCAUGCCUUGUGGGGAGCAGAGAACACAUGCACAAUUGUGCACCACACCAAAAUGUGCCCUCCAUUAGGGGCCAGGGGACAAUGCCAGCCAGAGCCCAACAGAGGCAGCCAAAGCCUUGCAGCUUUGCCCCAAGCCACUCCCUGCUUUAAAUGACCACAGUAGGAAGCUCUGAAGUCACAGAAGGAAAGGAAUACUGCAUCUGGACAGCAAGCAAACCAUCGCCCCACCCACCCCACCCCCAUGUUCUCUUUCCUUCCUCCUGCCUAUACUUCCUUCUCCAAGACUAUUCCAUAGGACCCACUUCCCUCUGGGUUCUACUUCUUUCCCCAGACAGCUGUAGGGCACAUGGCAGGGAAGCAGCAUGGGCCCCCCGGGGAAUCUGGACUCCACAGCAAAAGUUCAGGGCAGCCAUGUCUUUCCAAGCCUCUAAAACUAGUCCUGCAGGUUCUCUGCUCAAGGCUGGCUGUCUCCAGCCCAGACCCUUGCUGGGUGCACCAGGAUACCUUGGCAGGCAUAUUGUGACAUUUGUGUAGCUGCCUGUCAUUCCCCAUAUUUUUCCCUCCACCCAGAGCUCGCUCCACACUUCUGCUCACCCAGCAAGUGCAGCCUCUGGUCCUCUGCUUUUUCCACUCCAUCCAGCUUAGAGUCCCCGGCUGGCUUGUCACUCACCUGCUUUGUGCCAGGCUGGUCUGUGUCCCCCUGAGCCUCAUGGCCUACGGUGAUCCCUACAGUGAUGCCAGGUUGUCCGCUCACAUGAAUCCCAUCUGUAAAUUCUUUGCUCCCUUCUCCGAUGCUGCCACCCAGGGCCCUCUCCUGCCUCCUGUCCGCUGCCAGCAUCCUCAUUCGUCAUCGGUCAUUAGCCUCCCUCUGUGCUCCCUGGCACUCUUAAUAUAGAUUGAACCAGAAAGGUGACCCCUAACUGUUGACUUUCUGCCACCCUAAAAAAAAAAAAAAAAACGGCACAAAGAAAGCUGCCAUCACCCCUCCCCUCUUCUUCCUUUGUCCUGUUAAGGUUUUUUCAAGCAGUGUGUUCAGUAUGCAAAUCAAUUAUUUUAAGAAUCGCUUUUGUAAAUAUCUUUGUGAAUAUUUUAGUAUUGUCUUUGAUAAUAUUCAACAUUUUCAUGACCUGGUUAUAGCCUUUGCUGGUGUUUUUAAAAUAUCUUGACUCAGUGACAAAACCCGAGUCCUUUUUUAAAAAAACAAAAACAAAAACAAACAACAAAAACACACACACACAAAAAAAAACCAACCAGGGCUAUUUGUACAGAUGAGAGAGGAGCAGAAGAGUCGGCCAUGCUCAAGUUGGGAGACCAGGCAACCUACUAUUGAGAGCCACUCUCAGUCAGCUGACAGGGACAACACUACACAAGGUACCAUGUGGCUGUCCCUACCCAGUGCCUGUGUCCUGGCCCAAGGCCGUGCUCUUGUUGGACUAUACGGACGGACUGUUCAGCUUCAGACUGACAAACGCCUUUCUCACAAGUUCCUGCUUCUUGCCGCGAUACUGUGCCCCAGAACAGCCUGGGGUCCCUGCUAGUUCUUGUCAAGGCAUGCCCAGGUUUUCCACAGCUUUCCAAAGCAAAAGGCCUAGACACUCCCCGUAGCCCCAGCCUCUCUGUCAUCAGUUCACACCUGAGGCUGAUUUCCUAAGACUCUCUCCUAGGCAAGUGCCCCACCAGCAAGUUCACCACACAGCCUGAAGCCCACACUCCGGGAGCAUCUCCUUCCAGAGAAAUGUCGGAGCUCACCCAGGGUUUGAGAGAGGUACAAAGACAUCUGGGGCUGGAGCCAUGCCUUGGUAGUGACAGAUGCAGGUGAAGGUGAUAUCUAUUAGCAGAGGCAGGCUUAGACUCUGGAAAGAUCCUCAGUCCUUUCUGACAACAACUUGGAGCCAUAGUAACCUCAGAAAUGAGGUCUCAGCAAGCCACUUUACCACAAGGAGCAACCCACCCAUAGGCAUGUACCAGCCACCACUCAGCUAACCAGGCUGGGAGUCCAUGGGCAGAUGGGGAAGGCCCCGCACAGGCGAUCACCCUCAUCUUCUUGGUUUGAAGCUUUAUUCAUGUCUCAUGUAUCCUGUAGCCAUUUUAUUUUUUAAAAGAUUCCUAAUACUUUCUCCCUAACGGAAGCCCUAAACCCCAGAGAGCUACAGGUCUGCUCCCAAUGGGCCCUUGGGCCUGACCGAUCCAGAGGCAGUGUGAGCAGCGGCAGCGACUCAAGGGACGCGUGUACAUAUGUAAAUGAGAGAUAGACAUGUCAACAAGAUACAUUCAUUUCUCCCGGAAUGUGUAAUGUUUUUUUAUUUUACGAAACAGAAACAACAAAAGGCUUGGAACUCCUACGUGGAAUACUAGAUCCUGUUUGUUAGCCUUCGUGACUCCGUCCUUGUCUCCUGUAAUAUACUGACCCGUGUGCAGAGGCAUUUUCGUUCCCCUUUGUCUUUAUUUCUACCUACACGUACUAUUUACCUUCCGUGUCCUAGCCCUGCCACCUGUGUAUUUUUGGGGUGCUAUGGAAACAAUGAAGAGAAACGGGGGUUUCAGAAGAAAAUUGUAACCAAAUUCAUAUGCUUUGUAUAAGUUUUUGAUAUCAUGAUCACAGGUGAUUCACACGCAUACACAUCCACACCCACACGUGCAGCCUGAAGUGAUGUCCAUGGAACCCAUCGUCUUUGUACAGCGUAUGUACAUGGCAAUCAUUUCAUACUUUUGACUGGUCAGAAAAAAAAAACUAAUUGUGAUUUCUAGUCUUGCAAAGCUGUAUGUAGUUAGAUGAUGUGACCUCUAAUAUUUAUCUAAUAAAUAUGUAUUCAGAUGAAACCUGUAUAUUAGGUGUUCAUGUGGUUAUUUUGUAUUUAAAGAUCAAAUUAUUUGAUUAUUGCUAGACAUUUCUAUACUCUGUUGUAACACUGAGGUAUCUCAUUUGCUCAUGUUAAUUUUUUUCUAAAUAAAUGGACAAAAAAAAAAGAA
rnacentral:lncRNA from 1 species